UUGCGUAGCUAGGGUAGGUGGUUUUUUUUUUCCUUACAAAGGGUAGGUGGUGUUUGAAAACAUUCAUCGUUUGGCUUUCUCAAAAGUAACUUGUCAUUCAAACCAUGACAUGUGACUACGUUGUAUUAUACAGUCACUAGGAAUCUUUAAAAAAGCAUAUAGUAGCCACUUGAUUUGCUGACAUGAAAAGAAAUUUUUAUUGCUGGAUCAUCCAAAUUAACUUUUUUUUCUUUUUCUUUUUCUUAAUCUUAUCUAGCUCAAAGUAUAUGCAUUGCUGAGGUGGUGAUGAGGAAACUGAAAAAAGGGAAAGAAAAGUGGUUCAUGCCAUCACUAUAUAAAUAGCCUCUCCAGUCUUAGUUUUAGAGCAUGCUUUCCAAACACCUUGAUUCCUUAAACCAUUUUAUGCUUCCUAUGUCCUCUACUCCAUACACCAUGGACCUUGAUAAUUGCAACUGUCUAGGCUCAAGAAACAACUGCAUUUGGUCAAGUUAUGAGAGAAUUGGCAACGAUCCUAUUGAAUGUGUCAAUGAACUUAUGGCAAGAAUGAAGAUAGCAAGCUUAAAAAAAUUGUGGAAGAAGAUUAAGAAAGAAAAGAAGAGGAGAAUAUUUAGAUCGCCCUCACCAGUCAUUCUCAGCUCGAUUUGCUGCACCGUCCUCCAAGAUUUGUAAGAAGAAUUUUGAAGUGAUGGAUUGUGAACAAAUAUUAGAGAUAAACGAAGAGAGUUAGCUAGGAACGUAUGAUGUACUUGAGUUGCUUAAUUUGGACUCAUUUUCUUUACGCUUGUGAAUUAUGUAGUUGAGAUUCUUAAUUUGUACAAGGUUUUAGUAAUUCACUUAUAUAUCUUGUAAAUCUAUUUUAAAUAUUAGAUUUUGUAAAGGUUGAUAUUCUAUGAUAUGAUGAUUUCUUGACUCAA